rnacentral:rRNA from 1 species
GAUGAACGCUGGCGGCGUGCCUAAUACAUGCAAGUCGAGCGAACAGAUGAGGAGCUUGCUCCUCUGACGUUAGCGGCGGACGGGUGAGUAGCACGUGGAUAACCUACCUAUAAGACUGGGAUAACUUCGGGAAACCGGAGCUAAUACCAGAUAAUAUAUUGAACCGCAUGGUUCAAUAGUGAAAGACGGUUUUGCUGUCACUUAUAGAUGGAUCCGCGCCGCAUUAGCUAGUUGGUAAGGUAACGGCUUACCAAGGCAACGAUGCGUAGCCGACCUGAGAGGGUGAUCGGCCACACUGGAACUGAGACACGGUCCAGACUCCUACGGGAGGCAGCAGUAGGGAAUCUUCCGCAAUGGGCGAAAGCCUGACGGAGCAACGCCGCGUGAGUGAUGAAGGUCUUCGGAUCGUAAAACUCUGUUAUUAGGGAAGAACAAAUGUGUAAGUAACUAUGCACGUCUUGACGGUACCUAAUCAGAAAGCCACGGCUAACUACGUG